rnacentral:lncRNA from 1 species
CAUAUUCUUUACAAUCUUUCCAUCACUGUCGGCGAGUGUAAAGUAAAGCUAGGACAAGGCGAUAGAAAUCAGAUGUACGAUUAACACUUUUCCUUUUCUCCGUGAUUAUGUUUUUUGUAUCAGGUAUGUCUUUUUUAACGCCUCUCUCUAUAAAAUUAUUAUGUUCAAGAUCCUGACAUGUAUUAAAUUUCGCUUUAUACUCUAAUUUUAAUAGUUGAAAGAAAAUGUGCACUUUUUGAAUUUGUCAUAUUUUUAUACUUCUCAAAAUCAAUUUGACAGAAACAAGUAUGCUAGCUUCACAAUAUUUGAUAGUAUGUUGUUUAAUUUCUGAUGAGAGGAAUUUCAACAAUCAACUAGUACUUAACCCCAUAUGGUGCUUAAAUAAACGUAGGUAAUUGAUAAUUGAAAAGUUAAGUGAGAGAUACUAUCCCAGUUAAUUACUAUGGGUAGUAUCACAUUUUUGAUGAAGUAAGAACAUACAUUCAUUAGUAUACAUUUUUAGAAUCUAUUUGGAUUGACUUAUUUAAGGGUUUUUAAGGCAAAAUUGCUUUUAAGAUUUUUAUGAUAUUUGGAUAAAAUAAAAAAGUGCUUUUAAGCCUAUUGUAAUCCUUUUAAGUUAGAAUUCCUAACUUAUGAUUUUUGACUUAUGGCAAAUGCUAUAAGCUCAUUCAAACUGGCUCUUGUUUUAUCUCAUGUCACAAACAUGAAAGGUAAAAUGAAAAGAUUAAAUUGAAGUUAUUACUACAUAUUUAAGUAAGCCUUAUAGAAAAAUAUCAUUCACCUUUUUACCCUUUUAAAAUAGAGUUAACACCUGAGAAAAUAUUUAUUUAAUUAUUUUUCUAAUUUUUAGGAUUUUAGAAUUAAUCAAAUGUUAUGUAUUAAAUCCUUUUCUAUUUAAAAUAUAUAGAACAUUUACCAAGGCAGGCCCUCAAACUUGGCACAAUUUAUAAAUUAGACAAUUUAAUAAAUUUUAUCAAGUUGAAGUAUUUAUUGUUGAAUUUUUGUUUAAAUUAAAUAUAAAACUAUAAGAGGGAUAUUUUUAAUGCAGUGUUUUUUAAAUAAAAGGUUGUAUACUUUUAUUGUUUGGUUAGCACCUACUCUAUUUAAGUCCAACAUCCUCUUAUUUGUAACGUAUCUUUUAAUGAAACCUUUUAUAGACUCUUUCUUUACAACUUUUUCCAAAAGGAUAUUUUCUUCAUCAAAAAGAUGAAGUUCAUAUAUAUUCUUACUUUCCAAUAGGAUUUUCUUCACUAUUUUCUUAGUGCAGAAAUUUGUACGCUUGUUAUAUUCGCUAAAACAUAGUAUAAUCCCAUAGCAAUCUCAUAGAGGAUAGGGAGCAAAUAUUGCUUUUAAAUUUGAAAAAUAUAUUUCAAAAAUACAAAAAUAUAUAAAGAAAAAUACAAGAUUAAGGUUUGACAAAUAUGUACAACGAAUACAAGAUUUGAGGGUUGAAACAUGUGUGAAAUGAACAUAGAAUUAAACGCUUCACACGUGUUUCAAGUCUCAAAUCUUGUGUUUGUUGUUCAUAUUUCAAACCUUCUCCUUGUAUAUAUUUUUGUGCCAAUGGAACAUAUUUUUCAACAUUUAUCAGGUCACUAGUUAAGUUAAAGGGUCUAUUUACUAACUGUGUGAAGUUUGAUAAACUAUCUUUGUACUUAGCCUUAAAAUUUUUAAAGCAAUUAAGAUUUUAACGGCCUUUUAGGAAAUAAUUUUAUGUUGAAUAAAUUGUACUUAUAAUGCAAAACAAUCUUAUUUUACCUUUAAUUUUGAUAAGUCUUUCUUAGUUUGAUGGCAUAAAAAUAUCUUAACAACCAAUUACAAAUAAAAAAAUGUGUGUGUGAUAUGAUAUCAAUUUAUUAGUGUCAAAACAACCAAUAAUAAACCACAAUAUGAAAUCGUAAGUGUUACUUGUUUACGCGAAUAACUUAUACAAUAUGUUCUAAUCUAUUAUACAAUCUGUAGUACGUUGCGUAUUCGUAAUGCUAAUAUUUAUAUUAUCUGGUGAUUCAUUGACAGUAUAAUAAUACAAAUUUUAUAAUAAUAACAUGAAAUAUAUACAAUGCUCAUGUAGGAGCAAAAAACCUUGUUGCCUUUCACAACACAUAGAACUCAUGAGUAGGAGAUUAGUGCAACAAUCGACGUCCUAAAGUCAAUCUUUACCUUUCCAAAGGGAGAGAAUUGUAAAAGUUUAUACUAUUAGAAAUUUAUCGAGGUCAACAUGAAAAGAGAGGGUGUAGUGGAGGUUAAAAAUUUCUCUUUCCUAAGUUUGUGUCUUUGUGAGUACAUAUUUUGCAAUAGUUCAUUAUGGUCAACAAAAGGAGGAACGACUAAUUGGCUAUAUUUUUUUGUUAGCCUCAAUGAACCAUUGGAAAAAACAAAAACAAAUCAAUGUAAUUAGGAAUAAAUAUGUUCAUUCUCCAUUGGAAAGUGUGAGUUAUUUUGACUCGACAACGAUGACCCGAUUUGGUGAUGGGUUGACUACUAGCAUGGAAAAAGGCGGGAACCUUUUGAACCAGAUGCAGAUGGAGCGUUCUAAUGAUGUGUUACUUGAGAGCAUGUUGAACCCGACCCAUUUGAAUGAUGGGUUGCUUCAGAGCAUUUUGAACGCGACCAGAAUGACCCGUUUGAAUGAUGGGGCUGCAAGCUCUUUUAACUCGACUACGAUAUAGACCUGUUUGGAUGAUGGUGGUAGGAGCUCUUCUAACCUGACUCCAACCCAGACCCGUUUAUAAGAGCUCCCACCACCAUCAUCCAAAUGGGUCAGUAUCGUAGUUGGGUUAGAAGAGCACACAACCCCAUUAUUCAAACGGGUCAUUCUGGUUGCGUUCAAAAUGCUCUAAAGCAACCCAUCAUUCAAACGGGUCGGGUUCAACAUGAUAUCAAGUAACGCAUCAUUAGAACACUCCAUCAGCCUUUGGUUCAAAAAGUUACCACCUUUUUCCAUGCUAGUAUUCAACCCAUCACCAAAUCGGGUCAUCGUUGUCGAGUCAAAAAAGAUCGCGCUUUCCUUUCAUGCUGGCCUCAAUAAAUUUCUCAUAAUUUUUUUUUUUUUUAUCAAUCUCACCCUAUGGUAAAAUAAUCUCCUCGUCAUAAGGUCUACGCCCUAUCAAAGAAAUUUGGUCCAAUACAGUUGGACCCAUUAUGCCUAAGUUGAAGUGGAAAGUGUUACCUGAUUGUAUUUGUGGUUGUUGUAAAGAAUGCAAUUUUUUAUUAUUAGAGGAGAUUGUUGGAUGAUUGUAUUAGUAUUUAUUUUUGAUAAUAAGAGAAGAUGUCCCUCAUCAAACUUUCCGUGCCUUUUUAUUUUUGAUUGUAUUAUUUUGAGGGUAGGUGGGCUUGAUCCAUACUGUAAGGGCCUCCAGCACUUUGUGGUAAUUCCUCCAGGGUAAAGAAGUUUUCUUGAUUGUGGAUGUCACUUGGCCAACACAUCUGCGACUUGAUUAACUUUGUUGCCAAUUAAUGCUCUAGGCAAGGUUUUGAGCUUUACUGAUAGGAAGAAUUUGGCCAUUUAGCAUGUCAAUAAUUAAUAAACAGAAUCAGAGUUCUUAGAUUAUGAAGUCUAUAACAUCAAAUGAGAAAGAAAAAAGAAGAGAGGCUAUGUGGAGAAAAAGAAGAGUUAGAGUCGUUUCAUUGAUUGAAUCUUGUCAAUCUGUGAUACAUAGAGUGUUUAGAAUUUAUAUAUAGUCGAUUAUAGAAGAGUCUAGAAGCUAACUACUUAACUAACUUAAUUAGUUACAAUACACAUAGUUAGUUAUUAACUGUUUUUUGAAAAAUAGUUAACACUGUUUCAACAGUGUUUUCUUCAAUGGCUCAGUUGAUCAUCCUUCUUUCAACACUCCCCCUCAAGCUAAGUAAUCGAAAAUAGAUUAUGAAUGCCUAGCUUGGAUAACAAGUGUUCACGUUGAUACCUAUUGAGACCCUUAGUUAGCACAUCAGCAGGGGAAUAUAAUUUACUAUUACUAGUCCUUGAUUGAGCUACUCCCUUAUGAAAUGACAGUCUAUUUCAAUGUGCUUCGUCCUUUAAUGAUAUACAAGGUUGGAUGCAAUUUUCAUGGCAACUUGCAUAGCAGGUUGUUUAACAUCAUUCCCAAUCUCCUCUAAUAGUCCUAGUAACCAGAUAAGUUUGGCCGUAGUUGCAACAAUGCUUCUAUAUUCAGCUUCAUCUGAACUCUUAGAUAUAGUUCUCUUAGAUUUACAAGAAACAAUAAAUUCUCCUAACUUCACAAAAUAUCCGGUAACAGUGCUUCUUGAGAAUGGACAUGAUGCUUAAUCUGCAUACCAAUAUGCUGGGACUUCAACAUUUGAUUGACUGGACAUUAAUACUCCUUGUCCAAGUUUCUUCUUGAUGGGCUUGACUAGUCUAAUAGUUGUAUCUAUGUGAGACUUUUUUGGUUGUUGCAAGACUUGGCUGAGAGUUUGGACACUAUAAGCAAUGGCAGUCCUGGUCAUUGUGAGAUACAACAAUUUCCCUAUGAGUCUCUUAUAAGCAUGCACAUUUGCUGGUGGAUCAAUGGCUUCAUGCUCAUUCUUAUAGACAUGAUCAUCAUAUUCUUCAGUAGUCAGCUUGAUGUUUGUAUCAUUAGGUGUAACAAUGGGUUUACAUCUCCAAGUCUCAACUCAUACAUAAGUUUUGAUGUAUAUUUUCUUUGAUGCGCCAGAAUACCUUCCUUUGAUCUUAAGAAUUCACUUCCCUAAAAAAAUUGAGUUCAUCGAAAUCUUUCAUCUUGAAAGCUUGCUGAAGUUUUCCUUUAGUAUCUUCAAUCAAUCUUAGGGUGUCUCCUGUGAUUAAUAUACCAUAUACAUAGACUAAGACAAUAGUAAUACCCUCACUGAUGUACUUUAUGUAUAAAGAAUUAUCUAGUUGGCUUCAUUUGAAUUCUAUUUUGAUCAAGGCUUCAUAUAACUUAGGAUUCCACUAUCUAGGAGCCUUUUUAAGGCCAUACAGGGAUUUCAAGAGGCUACACACUAGUUUCUUCUCUCCUGGAUCUUGAAUACCUGCGGAAGGUCCAUGUAAAUUUCCUCAUGUAGAUCAAUUUGUAGAAAUACAUUAUAAACAUCCAUUUGAAAUAUAAACCAAUGCCUUUGAGCUGCAAUAAUAAGGAUUGUUCUCAAUGUUUUGUCAUCAUAACAAAUGAGAAUGUCUCUUGAAAUUAAAUACCCUCUUGUUGACUAUAACCUUUAACAACCAAUCUAGCUUUAAACCUUUAUACCUCACCAGUAGAUUUGUACUUCACUUUAAAGAUCCAUUUGCAACAUAUAGGUUUCUUACCUUCAGGUAAACUAGUGAUCAACCAAGUUUUUUUUCCUUCAAGUGCAUCAAUAUCAUUUUUCAUUUCUUCUAUCCAUCAUGGAUCUUUCACAACUUUACUGUAAGUGGCAGAUUCGAUAGUAGUAGAUGAAUUUCCUAUAUAUGCCUGCUACUUAGGAGAAAGUGUAUCAUAGGUCAAGUAUUUUUCCAAAGCAUAAGUUUGUUCCUAAUGAAUAUUGAGAGACACAAAGUCCUUGAACCAUAAAGGAGACUUUCUAGUUCUUGCGGUCCUUCUUGGAGGCAUUUGUAUCAGAUCCUUAACCUGAGGUUUGUUUGGUGUUUGAUCCUAAUCAAUUUGCACUUGUGUAGUAUAUUCUUGUACUCUGGGAUUAUUAGAUUCCUCUGGUGGUCUUUGAACAGUUAAUGUACCAUGUGAGAGCAUCGUGUCUGGUAUAUCCAUAUUUGACCAAUUAACUAAGGUCUUAUUGAGUUUGGCAGCUAUGAGAUGUUGAGUUUCAGGAGCUCUUUCUUUGAAAAAAAUCACAUCUUCUCUCAUGCUGACAUCUUUAUUGACAAAAAAUACUUUGUUAGCAUGAUCAUAAAGUAAAUAGCCUUUCUGAGUUUUAAAAUAGCCCAUUAAAAUCCAUUCUCUUAUUUUGGAUUGCAGAUUAACCGACUGUUGCACUAUCUUAGCAUAGCAUAAGCAACUUAGAGUUCUCAUAUGAAUAAUAGUAGGUUUCUUUCCAUAUAAUUUCUCGUAUGGAGAUAUGUGAUCUAGUAUAGCUGUAGGAAUCCUAUUGAUGAUACACAACUACUUUAACAAAGAAACCCCAGAAUAUAAUUGGUAUUGCAUCUUGAAAUCUUAGGGCCCUAGUGAUUUCCAAAAUGUGCUUGUGCUUUCUCUCAGCCACUCCAUUCUGGGUUGUAGGCACAUGAGAUUUGAUAAAUGAUUCCUAACUUUUUGAACAAAGUAUGGCAUACUAUGUUCAGAAACUCAAUUCCAUUAUCAGACUCAUACCCUGUAGAUAUUGGAUUAGAACCAAGAAUUCCAACAGUUGCACCCACAACUUUUUAACUUUCAUCACUGUUUACCAUAGCAAAUGCUUGGUUAAUGGUUUUUAGAGGAUUCAUAAGAAAUAUUUGGCUUCUUUCCUGGAAAUAUUAUUCAUUUAACCCAAUCAAGAAUUGAAACAACUUCAAUUUCUGAAGAUGAGGAACAUAAUCUUUUGAAGUUCCACAGUUCCCAUAAAUCAUUCAAUCUUGAAUAAUAGAGGGAUACAUAGGUUUUUCCUUAAGAUAGAGUAGCAAUUUUCUUAUGGAGAUCGAUGAUUCUUUGACCCAUCAAUCUUGUUAAAUCUCUCACAGAGAUCACUCCAAACUGCCUAUGCACUAGUUACAUACAUAAUUCCUCCAAGCAGACUCUUAGCCACGUCACUCAUGAUCCAAAAAAUGUCGUCCUAGUUCAUCCAAUGCAGCUUCUAAGGAGGAUAUUUUAUUUUUCAAAUUGAUUUCUUGUUCCUCAAUUUCUUUUAUUCAUAUCCGUUUUUUCUAGGCUUUCCUUCGACUUUGAAAUAGAAGCAUAAGGUUCAAUGUGAUGGUGCUUGAGAUCACUGUAAUACUCCUGGAUUUUAUUAAGCUUAUCCAUCAAGUUUACCUUCUUGUCAAUCUUACUAAAAUAGUCAUCCUCCCUCCUCUUUGCUUGCUGAAAAUUUAUGAACAGGGAUGGAAGAUUUUCUCCAGUUCCUCUAAUGCAUGUGAUUUCUCAACUGAGAGAUUGGCUGAUCCUACAUAUAUAGGAAGCCUAUCUAUCAUUACUACUUCAAUCAUGUGGUAAUCCCAUAUCCUCCUUAUUCAAAGAAAUUUAUUGACUACAUCGAGGCUUCAAUUCCCAACUUAUUUGUCAGCUUGGACAUGAAAUUUCAAGUUGGGAAUUGAAGCCUCAAUGUAGUCAAUAAAUUUUUCUGAAUAAGGAUGAUGUGGAAUUACCCCAUGAUUGAAGUAGCAAUGAUAGAUAGCCUUCCUAUAUAUGAUGGAUCACCCAAUCUCUCGAUUGAGAAAGUACAAGAUUUGGAGGAAUUAGAGAAAAAUCAUUCAUUGUUGUUCACAAAUUUUCAUCAUUCGAAGAGUUAGGAGGAUGACUAUUUUAUUAAGGUUGCCAAGAAGGUAGAUGUGAUCGAUAAUCUUACUGAAAGCCAGGAGCGUUACAAUGAUCUCAAGCACCAUCGCAUUGAAAUUGAUGCUUCUAUUUCAAAGUCGAAGGCGAGCCUAGAAAAAAGCAGAGAUGAAUAAGAGAGCAAUUGAGGAACAAGAAAUCAAUUUGAAAAAUGUAAUUUUCCCUUUGGAAUCUGCAUUGAAACAACUAGGAGCGGAAUCUCUAAUUUCACAGAAAGACAUUUGGGCAGACUGUAAGCAAAAGAUAAUUUCCUUGGAAAUGUGAAGUUGUCAAGACAUCUUUAAUGGAUGAAAAUAUGUUUUGUUGUUUACUCAAACUUACUUUAUUGACGGUUAAUUUGAGCAGGAGUUUGUUACUUUUUCAACUGAUUUUCUUACUUAUAUUUUAAUGUUUGUUAAUUAGAAAAGUACGUUAUUUCAUAAACAUUUAUACAUAAUGUAGGAAAAUUCUAUGGGGUGGAGUGUGUGGGUUUUGAGUACAAGCACAACCAUGAAGAUGGAUAAGUGCGAGAGUCAAUUGACCUGGUUCUUGGAAUGUGCAAGUGAAGUGCAAAGGAUGGACAAAUAUGCCAAAAAAUCGUCCAUACAUACUCCAAGGGCACCUUUGUUAUUCACUCUUUAUUAUGGGUCCUUUUGGUCAUUUUACAUUAUAUUUGUAACCUACUAUAAAUAGAAUGUUUUAUGCCAUUUACUAGUUAGUUGUUCAAUGAUAUUGUAAGUGAUAAAGACUCUUGAAACAUUUCCUCUCUUGUGAGAAGGGCUUUGGCCGAAACUAGGCAACAUAUAGUGUGGAUUCACUCUUGUUGGAUUCAUGGCUUGGAACGUUGGGUGGUUGAGAGAUUGAGGCCCCUAUUGUGUCCACCAAAGAGUGUAGGUAUUCAUAUUACAUCUUUUUAGGGUCUUGGUAUUGGAUACAUACCUUGAUUCUUAGUGUAUGUAAUAUUGUAUGAUACACUACCUAUCCC